rnacentral:rRNA from 1 species
ACGAGUGGCGGACGGGUGAGUAAUGCUUGGGAACUUGCCUUUGCGAGGGGGAUAACAGUUGGAAACGACUGCUAAUACCGCAUAAUGUCUUCGGACCAAACGGGGCUUCGGCUCCGGCGCAAAGAGAGGCCCAAGUGAGAUUAGCUAGUUGGUAAGGUAAAGGCUUACCAAGGCGACGAUCUCUAGCUGUUCUGAGAGGAAGAUCAGCCACACUGGGACUGAGACACGGCCCAGACUCCUACGGGAGGCAGCAGUGGGGAAUAUUGCACAAUGGGGGAAACCCUGAUGCAGCCAUGCCGCGUGUGUGAAGAAGGCCUUCGGGUUGUAAAGCACUUUCAGUUGUGAGGAAAAGUUAGUAGUUAAUACCUGCUAGCCGUGACGUUAACAACAGAAGAAGCACCGGCUAACUCCGUGCCAGCAGCCGCGGUAAUACGGAGGGUGCGAGCGUUAAUCGGAAUUACUGGGCGUAAAGCGCACGCAGGCGGUUUGUUAAGCUAGAUGUGAAAGCCCCGGGCUCAACCUGGGAUGGUCAUUUAGAACUGGCAGACUAGAGUCUUGGAGAGGGGAGUGGAAUUCCAGGUGUAGCGGUGAAAUGCGUAGAUAUCUGGAGGAACAUCAGUGGCGAAGGCGACUCCCUGGCCAAAGACUGACGCUCAUGUGCGAAAGUGUGGGUAGCGAACAGGAUUAGAUACCCUGGUAGUCCACACCGUAAACGCUGUCUACUAGCUGUGUGUGUCUUUAAGACGUGCGUAGCGAAGCUAACGCGCUAAGUAGACCGCC